ensembl:lncRNA
AGCUUUCUGAUGCAGUCCUCCAUGCAGGAGGAUUUUACGCUGGGGUAUCUGAGCAUUUGUAUGUGGCAGCCAUCUCUCCUGAAUCCUGUCUUCCUACAAAUCCUCCAUCCUCAUCCUCUUGUGCAGAGCAGCUGUUCAAGCUGAGAAAGGAAGCUUUCAAGCCUUGGACCUUAGAAGACAGGAAACAUGAUCUGGCGUUACAUGCCUUAAGGGUUUUAACCCAGCCUGGACUGCAGGUCUCUGUGGAUGAAGGACUAUCCUUCGUGAAUGGGCCAUGUCUGGCAAUGGAGUCCAGUGACACUGCUGAACAAGAGAGUCAUAGCAGUCUUUUGCUCCUGUUAGCUUUCAAAACACUGAACUGAGCUCAAGUUGAAGAUGAUUUUUAUAACUUAACAUUUUGCUCUCUGUGGUUGCUAGUCCUCCUUAUUACUUUCUUUAGCUUAUUUUCCCUUUGCUGUCUGAAUUGCUUCCUCAAAUUCCACCCACCUUUGGCUUUCCCACUCAGCUGGAAGUAUGCAUCUAAAUGUCG